AUUGAACGCUGGCGGCAUGCCUUACACAUGCAAGUCGAGCGGCAGCACGGGGGCAACCCUGGUGGCGAGCGGCGAACGGGUGAGUAAUACAUCGGAACAUGCCCAGUCGUGGGGGAUAACACUUCGAAAGAAGUGCUAAUACCGCAUACGUCCUGAGGGAGAAAGCGGGGAUCUUCGGACCUCGCGCGAUUGGAGUGGCCGAUGUCAGAUUAGCUAGUUGGUGGGGUAAAGGCCUACCAAGGCAACGAUCUGUAGCUGGUCUGAGAGGAUGAUCAGCCACACUGGGACUGAGACACGGCCCAGACUCCUACGGGAGGCAGCAGUGGGGAAUUUUGGACAAUGGGGGCAACCCUGAUCCAGCCAUUCCGCGUGAGUGAAGAAGGCCUUCGGGUUGUAAAGCUCUUUCGGCAGGAACGAAACGGCGAGCUCUAACAUAGCUUGCUAAUGACGGUACCUGAAGAAGAAGCACCGGCUAACUACGUGCCAGCAGCCGCAGUAAAAC
rnacentral:rRNA from 1 species